rnacentral:tRNA from 1 species
UCCGGAUUAGUAAAAUUUAUUAUACCACUUUGAUAUGGUGGAGUUCCUCUGGUAGGAUUCGGUA